UACGUAGGGGGCUAGCGUUGUCCGGAUUUAUUGGGCGUAAAGAGCGUGUAGGCGGCCAGGUAGGUCUAGUGUGAAAACUCGAGGCUUAACCUUGAGAUGUCAUCGGAAACCAUUUGGCUAGAGUCCGGAAGAGGAAAGUGGAAUUCCUGGUGUAGCGGUGAAAUGCGCAGAUAUCAGGAAGAACACCAAUGGCGAAAGCAGCUUUCUGGGACGGUACUGACGCUGAGACGCGAAAGCGUGGGGAGCGAACAGG
rnacentral:rRNA from 1 species